rnacentral:rRNA from 1 species
CCUACGGGUGGCAGCAGUGAGGAAUAUUGGUCAAUGGGCGCGAGCCUGAACCAGCCAAGUAGCGUGAAGGAUGACUGCCCUACGGGUUGUAAACUUCUUUUAUCGGGGAGUAAAGUGCGGCACGUGUACCGUUUUGUAUGUACCUUAUGAAUAAGGAUCGGCUAACUCCGUGCCAACAGCCGCGGUAAUACGGAGGAUCCGAGCGUUAUCCGGAUUUAUUGGGUUUAAAGGGAGCGUAGGUGGGUGGUUAAGUCAGUUGGGAAAGUUUGCGGCUUAAACGCAAAAUUGCAGUUGAUACUGGGUGUCUUGAGUGGAGCAGAGGUAGGCGGAAUUCGUGGUGUAGCGGUGAAAUGCUUAGAUAUCACGAAGAACACCGAUUGCGAAGGCAGCUUACGGGCCCGCGACUGACGCUGAUGCACGAAAGUGUGGGUAUCAAACAGGAUUAGAUACCCCAGUAGUC